GCAUAACGCGAAGAACCUUACCAGGCCUUGACAUCCUGAGAACCCUCCGAAACGGAAGGGUGCCGUUCGGGAACGUCAGUGACAGGUGCUGCAUGGCUGUCGUCAGCUCGUGUCGUGAGAUGUUCGGUUAAGUCCGGCAACGAGCGCAACCCUCGCCAUUAGUUGCCAGCAUUUCGGAUUGGGCACUCUAGUGGGACUGGCCUAUGAAAGUAGGAGGAAGGCGGGGAUGGACGUCUAGUCAGCAUGGCCCUUACGGCCUGGGCGACGACACGUGCUACAAUGGCCGGUACAACGGCGCUGCCACCUCGCGAGAGGGAGCUAAUCGUUAAAGCCGGUUACCCAGUUCCGGAUUGCAGUCUGCAACUCGACUGCAUGAAGUUGGAAUCGCUA
rnacentral:rRNA from 1 species